AGAAACAAUAGAUUACAUAAUCGUGAGUGCAUUCCUUUUCCUGGCCCCCCAGCAGAAAACGAGCCACCUCCUCCCAUAAGCAUCUGCAAUUAGAGCACUCUUCAUCUAUCAACCAAAACAAAAAUGCCAUGACCUAGAUCCAAAAAAGGAAAUAACCAAGAUUCAGUGAAGAUGAGAUCUUUCAGUGUUGGAAGUCAAGAAGCAGCACCUGGAGCACAGUUAAAAUGAUAGC
rnacentral:lncRNA from 1 species